UUAAAGCUUAUACUGGCCACAUUGAUUACAAGCAGUUGGAGGAAUCAGUUGAAAAACUUAAGAAUGUAAUGGAACACAUAAAUGAAGACAGAGAACCAGAUACACAUGUUUGAACUUAUACGUGACAUUGAAGACAUUCCAGCUACGGCCCUUUCAUCUCAUCGUUGGUUUAUUUCAAGACAUGAUGUGUUGGAGUUAAAUAUUAGCAAUAAUGGAAAGACUAAUAAACCAUUGUCUAUAGCAUUGUUCCUCUUCUCUGACAGCAUUGAGGUGAGAUAGAGGAAGUGUCUCAUUUUU
rnacentral:lncRNA from 1 species